GCUAAUACCGGAUAACAACAGAUGAUGCCUAUCAACUGUUUAAAAGAAUGGUUCUGCUAUCACUCUUGGAUGGACCUGCGGUGCAUUAGCUAGUUGGUAGGGUAACGGCCUACCAAGGCGAUGAUGCAUAGCCGAGUUGAGAGACUGAUCGGCCACAUUGGGACUGAGACACGGCCCAAACUCCUACGGGAGGCAGCAGGC
rnacentral:rRNA from 1 species